rnacentral:rRNA from 1 species
GUUGAACGCUGGCGGCAUGCCUAAUACAUGCAAGUCGAGUGAAAACAGGAAACGGCUUGCUGUUUCGCUGACGAGGGGCGGGGGGGUGUGUAAUGUGGGUGAAACUGCCUUAUGACGGGGGUUAACUACGGGAAACGGUGGCUAAUACGGCAUAACGUCUCAAGCCCAUGGUUGGGGACUUUAGGGCCGCUUUCCUUCAACUUUUCCCAGAUUGGAUUAGCUAGUAGGUGGGGUAAAGGCUCACCGAGGCGACGAUCCCUAGCUGGUCUGAGAGGAUGACCAGCCACACUGGAACUGAGACACGGUCCAGACUCCUACGGGAGGCAGCAGUGGGGAAUCUUGCACAAUGGGCGAAAGCCUGAUGCAGCCAUGCCGCGUGUAUGAAGAAGGCCUUCGGGUUGUAAAACUCUGUCAUCGGGGAGGAAGGGAGUUAAAAUAAAACAUUCACUCAUUGACGUUACCCGAAGAAAAAGCCCCGGCUAACUCCGUG